rnacentral:rRNA from 1 species
UGGGGAAUAUUGCACAAUGGGGGAAACCCUGAUGCAGCGACGCCGCGUGAACGAAGAAGGUAUUCGUAUCGUAAAGUUCUGUCCUAUGGGAAGAUAAUGACAGUACCAUAGAAGAAAGCUCCGGCUACAUACGUGCCAGCAGCCGCGGUAAUACGUAUGGAGCGAGCGUUGUCCGGCAUUAUUGGGCGUAAAGGGUACGCAGGCGGUUUAAUAAGUCGAAUGUUAAAGAUCGGGGCUCAACCCCGCAAAGCAUUGGAAACUGAUAAACUUGAGUAGUGGAGAGGAAAGUGGAAUUCCUAGUGUAGUGGUGAAAUACGUAGAUAUUAGGAGGAAUACCAGUAGCGAAGGCGACGUUCUGGACACAAACUGACGCUGAGGUACGAAAGCGUGGGGAGCAAACAGG